rnacentral:guide_RNA from 1 species
AAUCACAACCUGAAAUAACAGAAAGAAGUAGAUAGUUAUAAUU